GCCAGGGUGGAGUAGUGGUUUGACCACUGGGCUUUGACUCUGGAGACCAAGGUUCAAAUCCUCACUCAGUCA